UCCGAGUUGACCCCGGCAGUCUCCCGUGAGUCCCCAACCACCCCGAAGGAUGUUGCUGGCAACACAGGACAAGGGUUGCGCUCGUUGCGGGACUUAACCCAACAUCUCACGACACGAGCUGACGAUAACCAUGCACCACCUGUGUACCGCCCCGAAGGACACCGUAUCUCUACGGCUUUUCGGUACAUGUCAAGCCCAGGUAAGGUUCUUCGCGUUGCCUCGAAUUAAGCCACAUGCUCCGCCGCUUGUGCGGGCCCCCGUCAAUUCCUUUGAGUUAUAGCCUUGCGGCCGUACUCCCCAGGCGGGGUGCUUAAUGCGUUAGCUGCGGCACGGAAAGGGUUGAAGACCUCCCCACACCUAGCACCCAACGUUUACGGCUGGGACUAC
rnacentral:misc_RNA from 1 species